rnacentral:rRNA from 1 species
GACGAACGCUGGCGGCGUGCUUAACACAUGCAAGUCGAACGAUGAAGCCGGAGCUUGCUCUGGUGAAUUAGUGGCGAACGGGUGAGUAACACGUGAGUAACCUGCCCUUGACUCUGGGAUAACUGCGGGAAACUGUAGCUAAUACCGGAUACGACCCUCGGAGGCAUCUCCUGGGGGUGGAAAGAAUUUCGGUCAAGGAUGGACUCGCGGCCUAUCAGCUAGUUGGUGAGGUAAAGGCUCACCAAGGGGACGACGGGUAGCCGGCCUGAGAGGGUGACCGGCCACACUGGGACUGAGACACGGCCCAGAAUCCAACGGGAGGCAGCAGUGGGGAAUAUUGCACAAUGGGCGCAAGCCUGAUGCAGCAACGCCGCGUGAGGGAUGACGGCCUUCGGGUUGUAAACCUCUUUUAGCAGGGAAGAAGCGAAAGUGACGGUACCUGCAGAAAAAGCACCGGCUAACUACGAGCCAGCCGCCGCCGUAA